ACCAAUUCUCGACAAGAUCAAGUGGUUUGACUCAGCAUGAUUAAGAGUCUCACCAUGGUUCGAGUAAUUGGUGUACCGUCUUGACGGAGAUGAAAACUUAUUUGGCUUCUCUUCCU
rnacentral:sRNA from 1 species